rnacentral:lncRNA from 1 species
CUUCUCUGCGCGCUCCUGUCCGUGCAUGGGUCUGCUCCAGUCCUUUCUGUCCUUUCUGGUCUCCGCCAGCCAGCCUACGUUAAGUGAUUAAUCAUGCUCGUAUAUUUUCGAAGUGAAAUUCAAUUUGGACCGCAUCGUCAGUGCAAGAACCACAACAGCCACAACCCAGACGACAGCAAUAAAUAAGAAGUUGAGAAAAUAGGAAAAAUAAGAGCAAAAAAAUCCAAACAGCAGCAGGAUCAACCACAGGAACUGGAGCCUUAGGCAACGGUCCGAGAAAUUGCCAUCGAUAGGGGCAGGAAGUAGACUUGGAGACGCAGCCGUAGCCGAAGCGGAACAACU